UUCUCUCUCAUCUCUCUCACAACUCACAUCUCACCAGAUCUCAUCCGCCCCCAACUCUAUGCUUUCUCUCUCCCAGGCGAUUUCCAGAUCUAGGGUUUCAAUAACCCUGAAUCGUUCAUUUUCUCUCAAUCGACAGAAGAUCCAGUGGGGUUGUCCUCUAGAAGAUCCACUGGGUUUUUCUCUAAUCGGCACAAGAUACACUGUGGAUGACAUCUAGGUACCGUUAUAAAACCACAUCUAAUGUUUUUUGUUUGUUAUUUGAGUCUGAUUUGGAUCUGGUUAAAAUUCUGUUUGCGAGGCAAUGCUUGAACGGGUCUCUGACAUGAUGGAAAAGGAUUUGAUUCUUGUUGGUGCAACUGGUAUAAACCAUCUUCUCCGAGAUCGGUUGCUGCUUAUGUUAAUCCUCAUCGUCUUCUGUUCAGAUCUUGUUUUAAUACCGAUCUGCGAAAGUUUUGGAUGAUUCUGGAUUUGUUAUUGUGUUAGGAGAUGUCGUGUUCCUCAAGCCUGAACAAUUCGAGAGUUAAACGAUGAUGAUCGGUGGCUGUUAUGGAAGUUUCAUCAAAAAUUUCGGGUCGCAGUCAAACUGGUCAACUAUGUCAACAGUGUCUGGUCAACAUUUGAGUCUGGUUAACUGGGUCGACACGAGUCGGUUACGAGAUCAUGGGAAUGUAUAAGAUGUAUAAGGGCGCCAUUAAAUUAUUUAAAAUUACGUAUCUGUUUUGGGUUUGGGGCAUUGGUGCUUCUUGUUGAUAUGGGUCAUUUGAUUGCUGUUGGAUGAAAGGUGACGGUUCCAUCUAUAGCAUCGGUCUUUAACGAGUAUGCACUCAAGAGCCAAUAUGACACAAGCAUCUACCUUCAGGACUUGUUUUUAUAUGGGUACGGUGCUAUAUAUUCAAUUUUCUUGGAAUUCUUGGAACCGUGGUUAUCCAAGGCCCUGAAAGCGUUGAUUUUUUCAAGGACAUUCAAAAGCAACCAUGCUUUUAAUUAUAAACAAUGCGGGGCAGGGAAUUUUAUCCUCAUUUUUCUUCAAAUAUGCAGAUACAAUCUUGAAAAAGUAUUCAUCUACAUUUGCGACAAUUUUCACGGGCUAUGCAUCUGCCGCUUUGUUCGGUCAUACGUUGACGAUAAAUUUUAUGUUAGGAAUUUCUAUUGGUUUCAUUUCAAUGCAUCAGUUCCUUUCACCUCUUUCGGACGUUAAAGAAGAAGAAAAUGGAGUAUUGGAGCUUGAAUCUGUUAAAAAAACUGAUAGAAAUUAGCUGACCUGUCAUCCUCACAGAGCCCGAGGUUGAUUGACGGGAUCUUGCUAACCAAGUUUGAUACCAUAGAUGAUAAGGUUGGAGCUGCACUGUCUAUGGUUUACAUAUCAGGAGUGCCUGUGAAUGGCUGUGAUGUUUAUCGGGUGUGGACAGUCUUAUACAGAUCUCAAAAAGCUGAAUGUGAAGGCCAUUGUGAAGACGCUGCUUAAAUGAUGGUGCCUAUAAAGUGGCUUCGUUUAUGGUUUGUUUUCUGGACCUACUUCUGUCAAUGUACUCUUCGAGCUUGAAUCUGUUAUGUACUAUGCGCUCUUUUGGACUGCUCUUCUGUUGUCAUGCCUGGAACCCAAAUUAAUCAAUAGCUUGGAUCAAAGGGGAUGCAAAAGUCAAACGGUAUGCUAUUGGCAUUACAUAUGAAUGUUACCUAAUCCGCUUCGACCCGUUACCUAAUCCGUCUGACCCGUUACCUAACUCCUGCAUUGUGAAUGUUAUAGUUCGAAGGUUGUUUAAAUGUUAUGGAUUAGUUUAGCACAUUGUUUUGUUUUAUUUGAUAGGGAAUGAGUGAGAAUGUGCGCCUCUAACAAGUUCCUUGACAGGAGGUUGAUCUUCCCCGGCAGAUGGUUUAGUGGUUGCAGCCUUUGUGAUUAAACUACAUUGACAUCACUUGUAGCAUAUUUGUUGUCAAACUACAUUGACAUCACUUGUAGCAUAUUUGUUAUAAGAAUUGAGCUUUGUUAACAUGUUAUGUUACUGUUUGUUUUUUUUUCCUACCAAAGUUACAUACUUAUUGAAAUAAAUGUUAUUUACAUAGUUGCCUUCGCCGCAUCGCGCCAAUGUCAGUGUUUUCUUUCUUUUUUUUUUUAAAUUAAUAUUACUUCUUUUUGAGCAGGUAGAGGUGGAAAUACCAUUUCAACCCACUAAUAUGAAAAUAAUAUUGGAUUAAGAUAUAUGGACGUGUACAAAUUCUUCUUGUGUAUAAACCGAUACAUUUAGCAUCUGAUAUCAUUAUUGUUAAUAAGGUUGUGGAUAAACCUAUUUUUGAUAUUUUUGAGAAAAAUAUUUAUGGUUUAAAUAUGUUUUCGUAUAGAAAUUUUUUGGGUAUAUACGUUUUCGACCCACCCGUCAACAUCAAGCUUCGCCACUGCCGAAGGCCUCAUUGUAACUGAUGAUACGAUUCAUCAUUCAAAACCGUUGAUUUACCCACAUCUAUAAACCCCCCAUAACAUAACUAGAAUCACACAAUUUUCUUUGUUUUCUCCUGAAGCCGGUAACCGACCGUCGCACAAUAACCACCAAACGCCAUCACGAAACCACCAAUCGCCGCACUCCGCUGAUUCUCCGACGCUGAAGAAGGCCGCAACCGACCCUCACGUUCUGCUACACUGCCACCAUCGUCGUCGGACGCAACAUCGGAAACUACAUCCCCGUACAUAGCCAUAAACUCGCCAACCUAAGUGAUAUGUUUCCCGCCGCAUCGCGCGGGUAAACGACUAGUAACUAUAUAAUACAUCUCCUUAGGACUAAGAUGUAAUUUUAGUCCCUAAUUUUAAGAUGGCAUAUGAAAAGUGAGUUAAAAUCCCUAUUUUUUUCCUUAUUUUCUUCCAUUAUUGCCCCUGUCCCCAAGAAACCGGCCUCCAACUCAUUGUCUUUUUCUUAAUAUACCAUGGUUAAGGAAAUCAACCAGCCGAACAGGGGAGGAGCAAACGUCAGUUCAAUUACUAAUACAGUCAACUUUGAAAUCAAUUCUUCCCCACGAAACUGAAAUCAAUUACUGAUAUCAUCAUUAAGGUUCGAUCGAUGAAACUGAUAUCACACCAAAAGCCACCAAAACCCUACGAUUUCAAUCCCAUAAAUCCGAUCAAUUCUCCUUCUCCAGCACUUGGACCAGCCGAUAUGCCUUUUUGUUUGUUUCAUACGACGGUGUUAAGGGUUUCUAAAUAUGCUUUAGGAUGAUUCGCAGACUUUGAAGAGAUAACUGGUGUUCACAAUACAAUCAAGGUUCUUCAGGCAUUCCUUGAUGUAUACGUGGUGGAGGAGCAAUGGGAAUGCCAUUUUGGGCCAGGGGUGUGAACUGAGAUCCAGGUGACCCAUUAGGCGAUUCAUCAUGUAAAUUCCGGGCCUAGGCGGAGUCGUGACUUGAGCAUUAGGAGGGAUGUUUAAAGCUAGCCCAGUCACAUAGUUUGAGUAGCAGUGUCUUUCUUUCCCGUGUUCUCUCUUAGCCUAGCCAAGGUCCAUGGGUAGGUUUGACAAGUCAAAACUGGUGAUUUGCUCAUGUCUCGCGUUAUUGACUCCGCCGCAACGCGCGGGUCACAUUAUUUGCAGGAGUUCAUUAAUUUAAACUUAAGGGUUUUACAUUAUUAUUGACUUAUUGUGCUUUUUGUGUAUAGUUACAUUUUGUAUCAAUCAAAAUAGGGCUUCUUUCGGGUAUUCAAGGCAUAUUUAGAGAUGAUAUGGCAAUGACACUCCUGCUUCUUUUAAUUUAUGUUUUCGAUACUGUUUGCAGAUUAUCCAAAGGCGAGAAAGUUAAUAAAUCCGAGAAUCGCAAGCAGCCAAUAGAAGUUUUCGAGUUUGCCUUUGUUUAAGUUAUUCGUUAACCAACUCCCGUUUGUUGCCAUGUCAGUUAACGACACUAACACGCUACUCAUGAAAUAACGCGUUCGUUAAGAGAUGUAAAUAUGAGAAUGGAUACGAAGAGGAAAACCGAGAAUGAGCCUGCGGGUAUGCUAAAGUUUGCAACUUUUCGGUUCAUGAGUGUAGCUUACUCAAUAGUGAAUGUGUUCAUUUGAGAGUAGACUGUCCAAAAGAGGAUGCAUGUUGACCAAAUGGGGAUUAUACUUGUGGCCAUUUUGACUUCUUAAACUUGUGUUGCACUUGAAACUAUCCAUGGAUUAUUUUUGUUUUCUUCUGAAUUUCCAUAAUCAUGUAGUAUUGCAGCUUUAUCA